UCCUAAGGAACCAAGGCGCUCCGACGGC
rnacentral:piRNA from 1 species